rnacentral:rRNA from 1 species
UACGUAGGGACCGAGCGUUGUCCGGAAUUAUUGGGCGUAAAGCGCGUGUAGGCGGCCAGAAAAGUCCGCUGUGAAAACUCGAGGCUCAACUUCGAGCUGUCGGUGGAAACUUUCUGGCUAGAGUCCGGAAGAGGAGAAUGGAAUUCCUGGUGUAGCGGUGAAAUGCGCAGAUAUCAGGAAGAACACCCGUGGCGAAGGCGGUUCUCUGGGACGGUACUGACGCUGGAGACGCGGAAAGCGUGGGGAGCGAACAGG